CACACACACACACACACAGUCAUACACAUUCCCUCCAGAGAAAUCUCUUUGUCUGGAGUCUCUCCUGAGAGUCAGAGUACACACAGAAGAUAAGAACUCAGACUCUUCUGCUGCCAUCUCCGUCCAUCUGUCCAUCUGGUCUCCAGAGAGAAUUCCACCGAAACAAUGAUUUCCAGGCUCUGGGCGUAUGCUGCCAAAAUCAGAAGAAAUGUACAAAGCAACGCUGGGCUCAGAGUUGGCCCUUCCUGAAGGGUGGGUGGCCGGGCUCCUCCAAACCUCUGGCUGAGCUUCUCACUCAGCAAUUAAGGCUGCCGGAGCUCCGCCCAGACCCCAAGCACCCUCCAGCUUUUGUCUCUGGGAGAAAAUGCUGCUGAGCACCGAGGAAAUCUGCGAGGAG
rnacentral:lncRNA from 1 species